UCCUCUCCGGAGAGAAGCUCCAUGGAGAGGCGGAGGAGACGGGACUUCAGACCGGAUCAUGGCGGCGCCUCUCGGGCGGGACUCCCUACCGGAGCACUGCUCUUACGGUGUGUGCAGGGACGGCAGGGUCUUCUUCAUCGACGAUGAAGCGCGCGCCACCACCUGGCUGCACCCACGCUCCGGUGAGCCAGUAAACUCCGGACAUAUGAUCCGCUCAGACCUUCCUCGGGGAUGGGAGGAAGGAUUUACGGACGACGGGGCCAGUUUCUUCAUAAA